rnacentral:rRNA from 1 species
UACGUAGGGGGCUAGCGUUGUCCGGAAUCAUUGGGCGUAAAGCGCGUGUAGGCGGUUCGGUAAGUCCGCUGUGAAAGUCGGGGGCUCAACCCUCGGAUGCCGGUGGAUACUGUCGGGCUUGAGUACGGAAGAGGCGAGUGGAAUUCCUGGUGUAGCGGUGAAAUGCGCAGAUAUCAAGGAGGAACACCAAUUGCGAAGGCAGCUCCGCUGGGACGUUACUGACGCUGAGGACGCGAAAGCGUGGGGAGCAAACAGG